CAGUAGCCGCGGUAAUACGUAGGGUGCGAGCGUUAAUCGGAAUUACUGGGCGUAAAGCGUGCGCAGGCGGUUGUGUAAGACAGGUGUGAAAUCCCCGGGCUUAACCUGGGAACUGCGCUUGUGACUGCACAGCUAGAGUAUGGCAGAGGGGGGUGGAAUUCCACGUGUAGCAGUGAAAUGCGUAAAGAUGUGGAGGAACACCGAUGGCGAAGGCAGCCCCCUGGGCCAAUACUGACGCUCAUGCACGAAAGCGUGGGGAGCAAACAGAAUUAGAUACCCGAGUAGUCCCUGUCUCUUAUAC
rnacentral:rRNA from 1 species